CAGCCACAGUUCUGCAAGUUCAGCAGGAAAGAGUUUCUGGAUGGAAUGGCUGAGCUAGGAGAAGGCUCCUUGUUUGUGGUUGGUGUGACCACAGUUCCGACAACGUUGGCCAUCUGCUAUCCACUUCUCCCACCACAGCUUCUUGGUUGUGGUGUCGCAGACUACUGCCAGACCUGGGUCCAUCAGAACAAUGUAACAGGUCAGUUCAGUUCAGUGGUGCUGUGCCAUUUUUCUCAUCUUGGAGGUUUUAUGGGU